rnacentral:tRNA from 1 species
CGGGGUAUAGCGCAGGUGGUAGCGCGCGUGCUUCGGGAGCAUGAGGUCGCAGGUUCGAGUCCUGUUACCCCGACCA